GACGAACGCUGGCGGCGUGCUUAACACAUGCAAGUCGAACGGAAAGGCCCUGCUUUUGUGGGUUGCUCGAGUGGCGAACGGGUGAGUAACACGUGAGUAACCUGCCCUUGACUUUGGGAUAACUUCAGGAAACUGGGGCUAAUACCGGAUAGGAGCUCCUGCUGCAUGGUGGGGGUUGGAAAGUUUCGGCGGUUGGGGAUGGACUCGCGGGUUAUCAGCUUGUUGGUGGGGUAGUGGCUUACCAAGGCUUUGACCGGUAGCCGGCCUGAGAGGGUGACCGGCCACAUUGGGACUGAGAUACGGCCCAGACUCCUACGGGAGGCAGCAGUGGGGAAUAUUGCACAAUGGGCGGAAGCCUGAUGCAGCAACGCCGCGUGCGGGAUGACGGCCUUCGGGUUGUAAACCGCUUUCGACUGUGACGAAGCGUGAGUGACGGUAAUGGGUAAAGAAGCACCGGCUAACUACGUG
rnacentral:rRNA from 1 species